CCAACUUUCAUUCAUUCUCCUACCCUCCACCCUUUCCUAUCUGUCGCUUCUCUGCCGAUCUUCUUGUCUCCUUCAUUUCCACCCUUCCUCAUUCUCUCUCUCUCUCUCUCUCUCUCUCUCUCUCACUCUUUUCGCCCAGUCUUUCUCAUUUCUCUACCUCGUUUUCGCUUCGUUUCAAGUGCUUGUCUCUCUCUCUCACCGCACAGUUCCGUUGUCAUUUGGAACAUGUUUCAUCUGAUUUAUGGACACUUGUGCCGUUGAUACCCAUCGCAUACACGGACAUACAGCUGCCUGAACACGCACUCCUCUGCAUCCAUCCAUCACUCUUAACCAGUUGCAGCCGGUGUGUAUACCAUGCACUCCAACACUCCGUUGUCCUUUUCUCUGCUUGCCGUUUACCCGGAUAUCUGGUGUAUGACGGACAUGUUUCGGAAGAUGAACAGUAUUUCAGCCGUAAAUUAGAAGAGGAGGAGGACGUGGAAACACAUACCAUAACCCACACAGACAGACUCCGGGUAAGGUCUAGUGUUCUUCAUAUGUAGUGCUUCACACCACCUGUGCUCGCGCCCGCGCACACACACACACACACACUAUAGCAUCCAUACAUACACACACGAGCGUC
rnacentral:lncRNA from 1 species